GUAGGGGGCGAGCGUUGUCCGGAUUUAUUGGGCGUAAAGAGCUCGUAGGCGGUUGCGUAAGUCGGAUGUGAAAACUCAGGGCUCAACCCUGAGAUGCCAUACGAUACUGCGCUGACUCGAGUCCGGUAGGGGAGCAUGGAAUUCCUGGUGUAGCGGUGAAAUGCGCAGAUAUCAGGAGGAACACCAGUGGCGAAGGCGGUGCUCUGGGCCGGUACUGACGCUGAGGGAGCGAAAGCAGUGGGUAGCAAACAGGAUUAGAUACCCUGGUAGUCCAUGCCCGUAAACGUUGGGCACUAGGUGUGGGGCCCUACUUAACGGGUUCCGUGCCGUAGCUAACGCAUUAAGUGCCCCCGCCUGGGAGUACGGCCGCAAGGCUA
rnacentral:rRNA from 1 species